ACAUCGGUGACAGGUGGUGCAUGGUUGUCGUCAGCUCGUGUCGUGAGAUGUUGGGUUAAGUCCCGCAACGAGCGCAACCCCUAUUGUUAGUUGCCAUCAUUCAGUUGGGCACUCUAGCGAGACUGCCGGUAAUAAACCGGAGGAAGUGGGGAUGACGUCAAAUCAUCAUGCCCCUUAUGACCUGGGCUACACACGUGCUACAAUGGUUGGUACAACGAGUUGCGAGUCGGUGACGGCGAGCUAAUCUCUUAAAGCCAAUCUCAGUUCGGAUUGUAGGCUGCAACUCGCCUACAUGAAGUCGGAAUCGCUAGUAAUCGCGGAUCAGCACGCCGCGGUCGAAUACGUUCCCGGGCCUU
rnacentral:rRNA from 1 species